AGAAUAAUGCCAGCAGUCGGCCGUGCUGCGAGCGCCUCUGGCCAGCGCUGGUGUUAUUGGGA
ensembl:miRNA gmo-mir-8160b gmo-mir-8160b